UACGGAGGGUGCAAGCGUUGCUCGGAAUUACUGGGCGUAAAGCGUGCGCAGGCGGUUUUGUAAGUUUGUCGUGAAAUCCCCGGGCUUAACCUGGGAACUGCAUUUGUGACUGCAUCGCUGGAGUGCGGCAGAGGGGGAUGGAAUUCCGCGUGUAGCAGUGAAAUGCGUAGAUAUGCGGAGGAACACCGAUGGCGAAGGCAAUCCCCUGGGCCUGCACUGACGCUCAUGCACGAAAGCGUGGGGAGCAACAGG
rnacentral:rRNA from 1 species